rnacentral:rRNA from 1 species
GAUGAACGCUGGCGGCGUGCCUGAUACAUGCAAGUCGAGCGAACGGACGAGAAGCUUGCUUCUCUGAUGUUAGCGGCGGACGGGUGAGUAACAUGUGGAUAACCUACCUAUAAGACUGGGAUAACUUCGGGAAACCGGAGCUAAUACCGGAUAAUAUUUUGAACCGCAUGGUUCAAAAGUGAAAGACGGUCUUGCUGUCACUUAUAGAUGGAUCCGCGCUGCAUUAGCUAGUUGGUAAGGUAACGGCUUACCAAGGCAACGAUGCAUAGCCGACCUGAGAGGGUGAUCGGCCACACUGGAACUGAGACACGGUCCAGACUCCUACGGGAGGCAGCAGUAGGGAAUCUUCCGCAAUGGGCGAAAGCCUGACGGAGCAACGCCGCGUGAGUGAUGAAGGUCUUCGGAUCGUAAAACUCUGUUAUUAGGGAAGAACAUAUGUGUAAGUAACUGUGCACAUCUUGACGGUACCUAAUCAGAAAGCCACGGCUAACUACGUG